AGUGCUGCCUCCAGCCCUGGGGGCUCAGCACAGGAAGGACAUGGAGCUGCUGGAGUGAGUCCAGAGGAGGCACCAAGAUGAUCAGAGGAAUGGAGCAACUCUGGAAACUAACUGAGGCAUGAGGCUUGGAAAGAAGCUCAUGAAGUCAGCUAAUCUGUCACCCAGCUCCACCAGCGGGUUACCCACAGUGCACAUGAAUCCUGAAGGAGCCCUUUCCAUCGGGGAUAGUGUGGUAGAAGACUCUGCAUAAGCCAGCCCUGGCAUAAAACCCCCAUCCCAGUGUGCUCCCACCCCUUUCUAUUUCCUCUUGAGGGAAAGUCCGUAUUCCAUGUAUGUGCCAGCACCCCCACAAUCCUGGAGGACUUCUUUUUUCUCGAGAGGGAGCAGUUCCUGCUCCAUAAAUGGCUCAGCAUCCAAGUGGGUGGACAGGUUAACAGAGGGACACGAACCUACACCCUGAAAAUGAAAAGAAAGAAAAUGGCCAGACUUGAGGUUUGACUGGCAGGGCCAAUGAGUAUCAGCAAAAAUAUCCUCCCAAAAGUGCAGACUUUGAUGAUCAGCACAAACAGGUCCUCCUGCUCUUCCAGCUCAUGCCAUCUGGGAGAGGACUUUAAGCAACACCUUACAGGAAGGGUUUAGAAGUUGGUAUGAGAUGUAUUUCCUGAGCAAGAAGCAUCUGGGUGCAAUGGUACAAUUCUGCUGCUAACUCCUCUGAGCACAGACAAGACCAGUUCCUGUGCUAACCAACCUCACCUGGAAGGCUAAGUCUGCUGAAAAGGUAUUAAUUAAGAACUAUUCACCUGGAGCCAGACUUGGUAAGUGUUUGCAUCAAUGACCAAGCCAAAUAAAGGGCAGACUAGGCACUCUGCAAGUUCUCCAUGAGCAGAGCUACCCAGGGCAGUGAAACACAUGAUGACAAGCAGUAAAUUUUCAUAUGUCCUUUGAUCCCGGUCCAGAUGCUGUUCUGCCUGUGUCAUCCACAUCACUCCAUGACCAAGCUCUGGAUGAGUGAAACUAAGUGAAGGACGGCCUGUGCUUGGGUUCCUGAGGAUGAACCAUGUACCAGCAGGUAACAGUAAGCCAGCAACGUGGGAUUAACAUUCUGGUGGCUCAUAUUUUGUCCAUCAUCGCUGACAGAGGACUUGGAGACAGAUGUCUCGCCUGCAGUGACAAAUGAACUCAUGUUUUGAAGUUAACAGCUUCCCUUGAAUUCCUCUCGUUAUUCCAUACCACAGACUGCCAUCACUUUAUGGACAUCUUAUCUUGAGCCAACCCUACCAGAAUGACUGGGUUUAAUAUUAUAUCACAAAGUGGCCGGAUGAGAUAGUGAUACGUGUCUCUCUACAUGCCAUUUCCCACAACGCCUUGAAGGCAUCAUCAUACUUUAUUUUAUGAUCAGUGGGUCACUCAUCUAUAUCUGCUUUGAAGCCACAAUAGACUUUUUGCCAAUCGCUAAUAGAAACUAAAUAAACACAGCCAAACAGUGUCA